GCAAAACUUUACAUAUGUGUCAUAACUCAUUUAAAGAGUAUCCUACAAAUAAAGAAAUCAAGAGCAAGUCAGUCAACUAAUAUUAUUUCCCUAACUCAGUUAAUUCCUACACCACCUGGGAGUGUACAUUGAAAACUUCAGUGAAUUACAAAGUCUUCAUAUUUUUGGCAAAAGUCAUUUGAUAUGAUUUCUUCGAUUCCUCUUUGAUUAUACAUUUGAACUUUUCCUACAAAAGAACUCAAGGUAAAUUAUGCAUGUGCAAUGUAAAAUUGUCACUUAUGUAAUGCACCAUUUGAUCAUGAGACCCAUAACUAAUGUGAGUGCAAGCAUUGCACACAUGGUGCUGGGUGCAGCACCACAAUACAUGAAUUAUUCAGAUUGUUGUAUAACCAUAUACCAACAUUCAUAACUCUAGGUACCUUUAGCUCAAAACAAGAGAAAUGGUGCUAAUUACAAAAACUUUAAUUACGCACCUCAAUAUAUUGCCAACUAAGUACUCGAUAAGUAAGUUGAUUGUUGAACUUAAUUUUCUUAAAAGUAUAAUCUGUUUUUAUAAACAUCACUUGAUAAAGAUAGGUGCCAAAGCAAUAAUAAUACUCAUUAAGGAAAACCUAAUCACUCACUUCAAAAAAGGUGCCAACCAAAUAAGGAAGUUGCUUAUUGAGUUGAAUUUGGUCGUGGUUGUCCUUUAUCUCUUCCUUGAUAGAAUUCAACUCUAGCUUCCUCCUUAUAAUUCAUCAUUCAAGUUAGUUAGCCAAUCUCCUAAGUAAAGUUCAAAAAUUGAGACAAAAAAACACAAUAAAAGCAUCCAACAAACACAAAAUAACAUGAGUAGGGAAAACAAAGAGAAGUCGGAACCUUUAUGAUUCAAUUUCGUUGUCAAGAAGGCGUGAAUCCCUAGUAAUAUCCUUAAUGACAUAAUAUUUCAGAGUUUCUAUUAUCUCAUCGACGGAGAAUUCAAGAAAAAAUUGAAAUGAGGGAGUCGAUCUGCUUAAGCUUAAACAAUAAAAAACUAUGUAUUCUCUUCUUUCCAUUGUCGAUAUUUGUCAACUUCUUCUUCAAUAAAAUAAUGCUACACGUCUGCACUGUCACAACCUCUCCAUCCCAAAUUAUAGAAACACUAAGAUCAUAUCCCUUAAAUCUUCAAAAAAAAAUAAAAUAACUCAAUUCACAAAAUUUAUCAAGAAAUAGAAAAAAAAACUAUUAACAAUACCUCAAAAGCUAACCUAAGCAACCAAAAGAAUCAAUUACAAAAAGUAAUAUUCACUAUAAAUCUUUGUUCAAUCAAUAUUAUCCAUAUCAAAACCCUAAAAACUCAAGAUUUAGCACAUAAAACUACAAGUACACACAUACGGUAGAUAAAGAAAGGUUCUCCAUAGUGGCUGAAUGUAGUGCGAGAAUGGAGUUAUCAUUGUUGGCCGCCUCAUCAACUAUGAGCCGGUUAAGAUAUGUCUUCCUAUAGAAUCACCAGAAAAAGAAAAACAGAGUAAAUAACAACUCAAUGAUCUCCAUCACAGAAAUAUUAUGCCAAAUCAAAGCCAAGAAAUCAUCUUUCAGUUUAGAAAAGCUUAUUCCAAUCACUUGGAAUAGUGUUCAACAAGUUGGGUUCUAAUAAAAUAGUCUCCUUGACCAAACACUUUACACAUAUUAUGAAAGACAUCUAGCAUAUAUUUAUAAUAAUUUGUGUACUCAAUAAUUACUCCUUUGCUUGUUGGAUAAACUCUUCAGACAAACAGAACAAGAACUAUUUUCACUAUUGAGACUACAUAUAGUACUUAUUUGGAAACACCAAGUACUGUAAUGGCACAACUUCUCUUUUUUUAAAUAAUCUGAUGUUAGGGCUAGCCUUUGCACACGUCAACUAACUCCUUAAGAUACCUGCCACCUUCCACCAACAACAGAUACCAGGUAAUUCUAUCUACUAUGGAUAGAACAUAUGCGAAGAAAUCACCUAGUGUUUUUUUCUUUGCUGAGAAUUGAAGCUAAGAGCUCAUGGUCUUAACCCACAUCAUCAACCACUAGGCCACCCCUUCCUUUAUAUUUUGGCUCAAGAAUGUCCUUGUCGUUACGUUUUUGUCUCAAAAAUGUCCUCCAAGUAGCAAACUAAUUCAAAACUAUCCUUUGUACUGAUGAUUGCUCCAAAAACAAUGUAAAAUAGAUCAAUUUUUCCCUUGAAAUAUUUAGAAAUAAAAGAUACGGUCAUAUACCUAAUGUGUAAAGAACUAGAAGGAAUAAAAUUAUAUGUCAUUGAUCUUUAUUUGUUAAAAUGGCUACUUCUUUUAAUAUGUUUUUAUACGUUUCAUAGUCCACUCCCCCCCCCCCUCUCAACAAAAAGAACAAGGGCAAAAUUGGCUCAUUUCCUUAUUUUGGGCCAGCCGUUAGUAGGAACAAUAUGUUAUUAUCGGGUACACAAAAUUUAUAUUUCGGCACAAUAACUUCAAUACAAGUUCAACUAUAAAACAAUAACACUUAUUAAGUUAUGCAACGGCUUCAACACAAGAUCAAAAUGACUUUUCAAAGAAGUGUAUUUUCAGAAUUUUACAAAAAACUUAGACUCGAUGUUACAGAAUUUUCCUCCAAGGAUAAAAUGGCCUAACAAUCUGACUGUACUGGCCGAAAAGGUGUAUCCUUUAUGUAGUUGUUUAUGCACUUUAAAAACUAUAUUGUUCAAAUAAAUUUUGAACAAAAAGAUAGAUCUCAUUGAUCAUUUUCCAAAUCCAAAUUCGAGCCAAGCGACCAACGAAGACGACGGUGCGAGGUACCUCUUGGUUCUUGCCUCACUUAUCAUGUGGAGUAAGUGUUCCUUAAUAUAAAUAUUUGAAAGUUUCCUUCUCCCACCAAUGUGGGAGAAUUAGUAGACUUUCCAUUUUUAGGUGUUAUCUUAACUUUUUUCUUCCAUUUUCCAUUCACACUUUAAUCUUGAACCCAACACAAUAUUUUUAAACUAUUUGACUAGUUACAUAACAUUUUAAGCCAAAAAAAUAACAGCAGGUGAAUUUGACCUAUUUUAAUUAGUUUUCGAGGACAUUUUUUUGCACUUUUCCCUUUUCGUAAUGAUGAUGCAUAUAUUGUGUAUAACAUAUUUCUAUCUUUUGAACAAAAAAAAAGAAAUUAUGAGUGCAUAAUAAUGGCAGAGAAGUACUUUGAGAACAUAUAUAAUAAAUCUUCAUCUACUAGCAAGUCGAUAAUUCAGUGAAAGCAUUAGGGAUGUACGUUCUAAAAAUCUUAUCGUUUUAUGUUUGAAACGAUAAGAGAUCACACAUUUAUAGAACUAAAGUUCAAAUUAAGCAAUCUAAGAAUGAAAUCAUGCAUACGUUGGUAAGAGUCAUCCAGGCAUGAGACAGUUUUCACAUAUAGUUCCAUUUGUAGUUAACACAAUACCGCAUGUAAAACAAAACAUCUUCCCUACAUAAAACAAAACCAGAUGAAAUUUAGUAAAAGCUCAAAAGGAGAAGCAGAACAAGAUAGUAACUACAACAAAACAAUAUGAUAAUUGAGACAUCAAAUCUAUAUGAUCAUAUCUAAUCUUCAAUAUGAUCAAAUCUAACUUGUACACAAAAAUUCUUCAAAAUUUGAACAGAAAUCCAUCUACUGCCAGUAUUAAGCAAAACAAAGCAUUAGAAACCCAUCAAAUCCUAAUACCAACCAACAUACAAAAUAAUACAAAGCAUAUAACACAAUUGCAUAGAAGAAACACCCUCAACCUUCUUUUUAAUCUAAAGGACUCCUAAUAACAAAAAUAAGAUCUUUUUGGAUAUCACAUGUUACGUUACAUAUUACACAAACAAAGUCACAACUCUCGAAUAGAGUUACCAAAUUAUUAAUUUUUAAAAUAUAUUUUCCUUUUCCAAUAAUAUAUUUUAGGGCUCCUUUUUAAUGUACACAAGGAAAAAGAAAACCUACUAACAUUAGUGUUCCUUAUAUUUUCCAAUUAUAUAUUUUAGGACUCCUUUUUAAUGUGCAUAAGGAAAAAGAAAACCUAUUAACAUUAGUUUUUCUUAUAUUUUAUUCCUAUCAUAUAUAUAUUAGGAUUCUUUAAACUUUAAUAAUUAAAUAAUAAUUAGGGAAAAGGGGUGAAAAGACAAUUUUGUCUAUUGCAGAGACUUUUAAUGAAGGGCAUAAAGUUCGAAUCACAUUUCUAAGGACCUUCACACUUUUAAUAUAUUAUAGAUAGAUAUAGAUAUAGAUUAUAGAAUAGAUAUAGAUUAUAGAUUAUAGAUUAUAGAUUAUAGAUAUAGGUAAAUCAAAAAUUAUAUAUAUAUAUAUAUAUAUGUAUAUAUAUAAAUCUUAACUAUGUUAGUAAAAUUUUCGACUUUGCCACUUCAUGUAAGGAUAAAAAAAUAUUUUCCAACAUUACAAAUUUAUGGAAGAUGGGAAUUUUUAGUGGGUUAUGUACAUAUUAUGCAGAAGAUGAUCCCUAAACAUCAAAAAGGUAUGUAUUUAUUUUCAACGUACUGAAAGUUAUGUGAUGGCCAUGGUACGUGGUGUAUUCAACUAAAUAAAGAGAAUAGUAUCUGUGCACCGAUAGUGUAUAAGAUUUUAACUAUCAUAUUAAAAUUACCCAUAACAACAAAAAUGUAGUCCUCUAUAAUAAGCCUAAUUGAUUUGAUAUAUCCCCUUGGUUUUAAAAUAAGUGUUAUUUUUAUUUUUUUUAUUUUAUUUUAAGAUAAAUGGGGUUUCACAAAAUCAAGAAGAUGUUGACUAUAUUCUUCUAAUUAUAGCUUAAUUAGAUAAAGAAAUUUUACGUGACCCAAAAACUGCUUGCUCGUUUCAAUUUAGUUGGCUCUUGUUGACUUGAUAACCCUCUUCUUCAGAAUAUAUUUACAUUAGGUUUAUUUUAUCAAAUUAGCUCUAUUGAUUAUGCUUUGAAAAUGUAAACUUGAGCAUAUACACUUUGUUUAGUUCUUUAAUGAUAAGAGUAGUAUUGAAAGAACAUAAUAAAAUCCUCUUGAUUUCAUAAAAGGAACAACUAAAUUGAAAUAAAUAUAUUUAGAAAGNNNNNNNNNNNNNNNNNNNNNNNNNNNNNNNNNNNNNNNNNNNNNNNNNNNNNNNNNNNNNNNNNNNNNNNNNNNNNNNNNNNNNNNNNNNNNNNNNNNNNNNNNNNNNNNNNNNNNNNNNNNNNNNNNNNNNNNNNNNNNNNNNNNNNNNNNNNNNNNNNNNNNNNNNNNNNNNNNNNNNNNNNNNNNNNNNNNNNNNNNNNNNNNNNNNNNNNNNNNNNNNNNNNNNNNNNNNNNNNNNNNNNNNNNNNNNNNNNNNNNNNNNNNNNNNNNNNNNNNNNNNNNNNNNNNNNNNNNNNNNNNNNNNNNNNNNNNNNNNNNNNNNNNAAAGAGUGUCAACUAUUUUGAAAGAGAGGGAGUGUGCACAACAAAAUUUUAUUGAAUUUAAAUCUAUAAAAAAUUGGAUGAUAUUAGAUUUGAGAUAUAUUGGUCAAAAUAAAUAUUACAGAUUAAUAUAAUUGAAUUAAUUACUUAAGCGCAAUAAUCCAAAAUUAAUUAAAGUCCAAAUAUUAUUAGGCUAGUCCAUUAAUUUGAGCUACAAAAUGAGCCAAUUUUGAUAGGCUCAAGAUGUCAUUUAUUCUAAAGAUUCAAUUUGUGCCACGUGUCAAAUGACGAGGCAUGCUAAGUCAAAUAGAAUAACCAACAGGAUCAGGUCAUGUAUCAAAAUGAUGUAGUAUGCCCAACCAAAUCUAGGACCAACAAAAAUGUGCCAUGUAUACAAAUGACAUAUUUCGGCAAAUUAGAUGUCGUCAUGUCACUUCCAUAUGAUUGGCCGAAAAGAGUUUGUAUUUAACAUUACUUUUUUCUUUCCACAACUAUAAAUAGGGGUUUCAUAGUUAAGUUGAGGAAUCAAGAAUUCUAACAAGAAGUAAGAGAGAACUCAUAGAUCAAACGCUGUAGAUUUCUCUACAAGCUACAAUUUCAAGAAUUCAAGCACUCAAAUUCAAAUACAACUCAAGAUCAAGAUGAGAUUCAAGAUCAAAUUCAAAAUAUCAUGGACUCAAGUGCAAGUCAAGAUCAAGACCACCAUAAAUCAAGAUCAAGAUCAAAAGCCUUUAGAUUCAAGUACAAGUCAAGAUCAAAAUUACCUAAUUAAAGAUCAAAUUCAAAAGUCCUUGGAUUAAAAUACAAGUCAAGAUCAAGUUUAUCCAAAUUCAAGAUUAAGCUCAAAGGCCCUAUAAUUCCAACCUUGAUUUUGCUUUUUUGUUUAAUUGAAAAAUAUUCUUCUUCAUAUUGUAUAAUUAUUAAUAACAUUAGUUUAUUUAAAAUUUGCUAAAAUAAUGGAUCAUUUAACUAAACAUAUAACAAUAUAGAAUUAACUUAUUCAUAUAGUGUAGGAGUGCUUUGGUUGCAGUUGUGCUGGUAGUCGGGUGAGGUUUGUGCACACGUGAUAGUGUAGAGUACUAAGUAGUGGGUGUUUUCUUUUUUGUUAUUCCAUCUUAUGGCAUAUUUUAUUACAACUGUGUUAAUUGUCUUUUGUUCUGAGCUAGGGUCUAUCGGAAAAAACCUCUCUACCUCUUCGGAGGUAGUGGUAUGGAUUGCAUACAUCUUACCCUCCCUAGACUCCACUAGGUAGGAAUAACUGGAUAUGAUAUUGUUUUUGUUGUUGUUGAACACGUAGAUUAUACGUAAAUUUAUAAAAGAUUAUAAAAAUGAAAAUAUGAGAAGAAUAAUGGAUCAGAAUGAAGAAUGCAAAAGUACAAAUAAGAAUUCAUGGAUAAUUUGUCCUUGUAAAGUAAAUUAGAUAUACAAACAUGGCCAAACCUCAUCAACAAGUUCAACUUUCAAUUAUUUUAUUUAAAUCUAUUUCCUACAUGGAAAAGGUAAAGUGCCUGAAUUUAUAUUUGAAAAGAAGAAUUAGAGGAUUCAUGGAUCAUAACACUCACAUAUUUAAAAUCAAAUAAAAUGACUAUUGCGAGAUUUUCACGUCUCAAUUAUUAUUUUCUCGACUCGAAUUUUAUUAUCAAACAAUUUUGACUCACCGACUGGAAUAAUAUCUACCUCUCAUCUCUUCUUUUUAAAGUCAAAAAAUAUCAAAAUAACUCAAAAUGAAGAUCAACUCUAAAUACAACGCUACUGGGGCUGCUCACUCCAAAAGUGAAUUGAAAGUGUCCAUGGAGAUUAUUGGUCAAAUAAAAAGUAAUAUGGAUCAACCUAAUCUUCAACAAGAAUACCAUUGAAUGUCCAAAUAUCUCUUUAUUUGAGAAGGUGAUGUAUUAAACGGUGAAUGUGCUUCAAUAUCCACUCAAAUUAUUUCCUAGUCCAAGCUAUAUUCAGAUAGAGAUUCACGUCAUCCUUCUUCCUUUAUGAUGAUAGUACAAGCAAUAAUAGGUGACACUUCUACUAUAGAAUAACAACUUACAAGUUUGACUGAAGUAACUGAUGGCAUGACGAAAUACAUGCAAGAACAAAAUGCUAACUUUUCAAGCUGACAAAAACAUGGAUAGCAUAAAUGAGAGAGAAUCUAGUCAAAUAUUUAUGAAGCCUCCUGAAAUUCAAGAGAAAGGAGAGUCUUUGAUAUAGCAAACAAUGAUGAUAAAAAAAUUAAUGUAUCCGUUGGGGGCAUUCUGGAUAUUUCCCCUUUUUAUCUCCCUUUGAUACCAUGACAUAAAACACCUUUGGAGGCUUCACUAACCUAUAAUUCUCAAUCAAAUACACUUAAAUAUCUCUAACUCUUUGUUCAAUCAUGAGGCAAGGGUUUCUUCAAGCUAAUCAAUUAAGGGCUUUCAAUAGUGAUUCUCUCCAUAUUUCUUGGUAUCUAAGGCAUGGGACUCUUCCUUUGUUGUUAUUUUACUAAAGGGAUGUGUUUUAGUGUAUGGUUUCAAUGAUAUUGCUAUGGCUUUGAAAUAAAGGUUGGUGGGUUUUGGUUGUUUAUGGAUGAAUAUUGCUUCUCAUGGUUUAAUUAUGGUUUUACUUAUUUUGCUUAUGGUUUUCUAUAAGUGGGUGCAUGGGAAUGGUGAUUUAAUAGAGAGGUCAUGGUUGAGCCCCAAAUUGUUUGGUUUUGGUUUUGAUAAUGGCAAGCCCUCAACCUAUUUGUUAAAAUUCCAAUGAUAUUGAUUUUGUCACAUACUUUAACUACUCUUGGAACUCUUGCAUUUCAUGAGUGUUAAAUGGAACAUGAAUUGGUUUUGGUUGGUUUCACAUGACUUUGGAAAGGCCUUGGUGUCUUUUGUUUAAUUAUAAGUUUUUUGGUUUAAAUAGAAAUGGUGGAGUCUAAUUUGGUUAAAUGAUUCAUAUGGCAUAUGGUAAUAGACUUGCAAGCACUAAUUUUGGUAUGAAAAUACCAACGAUUAAUGCCUAAUUAAAAGACUCCUGGUUAAAUAGUUGGUUAUGUGUAAAAAGGUUUAAUUGGGCUUAAAGAGGGUUGAGUAUCAAAGUCAUGGAAGAUGGAGAUCCCGAAGGGAUCGACAUUGGAAACUCAUAUUUGUCGAUAUGAGGUUGGCCUUGGUGGUCGUAUGCAUGAUUCCACACUUUAUAUUUUAGGGAUGUACUAGUCAUCCUAUAUUUCUUUCUCCGGUCAUUCGGCUAACACGCACUGGAGCCUUUUCAGCUGGGGGAGUUGAAAACAUAUAGCUCAAGGGUGGUUUUAGGACGGCUAAGAUACACAACCCAGGUUAAGUUCUUCAAUGCAUGAUAAAACUCAUUCCCUACCCUGGAAUGGUAUAUGUAUAUAUAUAUAUAUAUAUAUGUAUGUAUGUAUAUAUAUAUAUAUGUAUAUAUGUGAUUGCAUAUGGUUACUUGCGUUGGUUUGAAUGAUGGCAUUACUUUAUCUUUAUCCCUGAGUAACAUGCUAGCGUUUACCCCACUAACCAUCUUCGAGCGUUGUAUCCCUAUGCGAUGCAGGAACUGGUCAUACUACUAUUUCUCUUGCUUAGUGACUUAGAUUUAGGGACAGCUUUAAGUCAGAUUGAAAUGGGGAGCCUCCCUACUCCGGAAGGCUCCAUUCUAUGCUAUGGAAUUCUUUUGUUUUAUUUAUUUUUAGGUUUAAUUUUGGAUAUGGUCAUGGGUAUGUCCCAAUCGAAUGUUAUUGAUUAUGUUUAGAGGCUUUUUCAGACAACUAUGGGCAUGGGUGUUGUCAUUAUUGGUGUCAGCCAUGACAUUGGUGUUGGCAUUAGGGUUGGAACUGGUUGGAUAUUUGAUUGAGGUUGUUGUAUUAUGAUUACAAAAUUUAUUUAAUGUCUUUAUUUUAUUCUUUUUUCAUCUUUUUAUAUGAUUAAAAUUCAUCCAACAAAGGGUAAGGGCAGUUAUAGUUGGGUAUUGGGGGUAGUCUUUGGUCCUGUUUGAACUUGAGAUGCCUGACACAACUAGGCCCUGGUUUGCGUGGUGUCAGAUUGGUAUCAGAGCCCUAGGUUCAUGGUCAAUUGGGUGUCCGACAAAUUUAUGUCAAGUAGAGUCUUUUUUAGGAGUGUGUAGCACGCCACACUCGUAAAGGAAAGACAACAAAACAUUUAGGAAUGUUUCUUUUUCUUGUGUUCUAUUUUCGAGUUAUAGAGUCUAAGGCCUUGAAUUUCCCUCUAGGGACAAUUUUAAUGGGAUAUAUUUGCUUAUGGGGUCCAGACCCAAUUAGGAGUCCAGUUCCUAAUUUUUCUCCUAUAGUUCUAUCGGUUCCUUCUAGUCCUCCUCAAGCUCCUUAGAAAGAUAUGAUGAAUGCUGAGUUUCAUCAAUAUAUCCAUUAGUUGGAAUAAUUGGUAGCUUCUCAGGCCAAACAUGGUGGUUAUGUUACUCCAUCUUCUAAAGCCACUAGGGUUGGCCAGUUUGUGAGGUUGAACCCUUCUAUGUUUACUGGUGUUAAGGUGAAGGAGGGUUCUCAAGCUUUUGUGGAUGAGAUGGAAAAUAUCUUCCAUGUUUAACAUUCUACCAACAUUAAGGAUAUAGAAUGUGCUUCCUACCAACUGAAAGAUGUAGCAUACCAAUGGUAUGAGGAAUGAGAGCAGUCAAGGGGUGACAAUACAGAGUCAGCCCUAUGGGAUGAUUUCUCUAGUGUUUUUCUAGUGUAAUACCCCAUCUGUAAGAGUUUUCUGUCUAUCAUAUGACUCAUCCCUUGAGUUAUAUGCAUAGCAUACGAGUUGUACAUUGAUCUGACACCCAAGGCAGUGUAGGAUGAGUGACAAUCUAUUAAGGGUAUGACUUAACUCCUAGAAGUCGUCAAGAAGUAUGGGUCGUAUAAGUUUAACAGUGUAGACUCAGAUAUGAUGGGGAGCUAAGAAUCAUAUGAUAAAGAUACCGGUCGUAUAUGGAACUUAUCAGUUGAUCAGUGUGUACCCUCUUUUAAUUCCGUCCAUCUUACGACUUAUGAUUCCUAGCCGUACCAUUGAGUAUGAGUCGUAUGAUCAACUUGUAGAACUGACGAGUAAAUUCUGAGAAGCUAAGGGUCUUUUUAGUCUUUUACCCCGACAUUUUACCUCUAAGGUCAUUACUUUUCCUCUCUUUUCCAUCAAUUAAUCAACAUAAAAUCCCUAUUUCCAUUCUCAAGACAAGAUUAGGGUUUCUUCUUAAGAUUAUCUCCUAAGUCUCAAAAGUCAAGUGUACUUCACUAAGCCAAGCACUUUAAGGUAUGUGGGGUUUAUGAACAAGGAUAUUCUUUCAUCCUUGUUCCCAAAACUUGUUUUAUAGUUAAGUUAUAUAAUUUGCAAUUAGGAUUCAUACCCAAAUUAUCUUGUCUUGAGUUUAUAAAAUUUUCAUGUGAUUGAAGUAUUAAAGUGCAUACAUGUUCUCAUUUAUUUAUGUUUUGACUUGAAGAUUCUCUAUUAUGAUUUGUAUAACAUGAGUUUGAUUUGAAACAUUGAUUAAAUAUUUUCAAUCGAGUUGUAAGCAUGAUAUUGUGUUACAAGAUAUAUGAAAGAAAGUAUGAGAUUUAAGGUUUUGUAAAAGCACUAAGUUUACAAGAAAGUUUGAUCUUCAGAUCCAAUGACAAGACUUGAAAUCCACAAUUGUUCAUUUUGAUUCUGAUUUAAGGUAAAGAGAAGCAUAAUUGGUUUCAAGUAUACUAACCCUUAUGUUAUUUUAAAGUGGAUUUCUUAAGUAUGUGCAUAUACAUAUACAUACAUACACACACACAUGCAUAUAUAUAUAUAUAUAUAUAUA
rnacentral:lncRNA from 1 species